rnacentral:misc_RNA from 1 species
UCCGAUUUGUCCGCCUGGGGAGUACGGUCGCAAGAUUAAAACUCAAAGGAAUUGACGGGGACCCGCACAAGCGGUGGAUGAUGUGGAUUAAUUCGAUGCAACGCGAAUAACCUUACCUACCCUUGACAUGUACGGAAGCCCAGCGAGAGCUGGGUGUGCCCGAAAGGGAGCCGUAACACAGGUGCUGCAUGGCUGUCGUCAGCUCGUGUCGUGAGAUGUUGGGUUAAGUCCCGCAACGAGCGCAACCCUUGUCCCUAGUUGCUACGCAAGGGCACUCUAGGGAGACUGCCGGUGACAAACCGGAGGAAGGUGGGGAGACGUCUCCUUCCAUCACA